rnacentral:rRNA from 1 species
GUCCUGAUGGCUCACAUGAAGUUUCGUGCCGUUCCGACCUCGUUUGAUACGGUUAUGGUUAACCACACGGCCCCUCGGGCCCGACCCGAGCCCAGUCAACGUUUUGACCCGAUCAAAUCGGCCCGUGACCCGAAACGACCCUACUUGGGCCCUACAACAGCCACGUAAAGUUUCGGGAUGAUCCGACGUUCUUUCAUGGGGUUACGGACAAUCCACGCCAAACAAGCGUCACGGGCCGACCGAGCCGGGCCAACGGGCCCUCGGGACCCGAAAACUGAAUUUUUUUUCAUCCAAACCCAUUAAAACACGUUACCGAGGUCUCACGCAAAAUUUCAUGCCAAUCCGACGUCGUUUGAUGGGGUUUUGAGAUAUUAUGAUUCCUCAAAAAUUUAAUGUCUGUUCCUGUCACUUAGCUUUUUGUGCAAAAUGUAUAUAUAGGGGAGGGGUGGGUGUUGAGCAGCCCAUGCCCGGGCAAGGCAUGCCAGCGCCCAAGCCAAAGGAGGCUGGUGGCGUGCGUAUAACAGCUCAAAUGCCCCAACGAUGACCGAGAACAAGCGCCCAUCUCCCCUCCUUCCCCCCCACCAAGCGCCCCUCCCCCCCCAUGUUGCCUGCCCACUCGCACAGCUACUCGUGAUUUCAUGCCCAGCGACUAGUGAAUGUGCCUCGACGACCAGCAAACCUCGAAAAUUAUGAUUCCUCGUAAAAUUAAUGUCUGUUCCUGUCACUUUACUUUUUGUGCAAAAUGUAUAUAUAGGGGAGACCAGGGGCUUGAGCAACCCCUGUGCCCAAGCAAGGGUCAGAUGGAAGCACACGAGACGCGAGGUUUAAAGCCUAUACAAGCAAGGCGUCUGUCUCCCCAAGCCCCAUUGCCUAUAAAACAAGCCCGAUGCCUUGUAAAUGCCCCACACGAUGCCUAUAAACGACAACGAUGUUUGCUAGUUAAUCGAUCGACGCCCCACACCUUGCAGCAUGUUGCCUAGUAAACAAGCCAUGCUGCCUUGGAAGCGCCCCACAUCAUGGCAUGUUGCCUAGCACGCUGCCCUUGUUUCCAGCACGGCGACCUGAAAGCGUGGCCUGACGACGUGCUUGCCUUCGAAAAUUAUGAUUCCUCAAAAAAUUAAUGUCUGUUCCUGUCACUUUACUUUUUGU